rnacentral:rRNA from 1 species
ACGGGAGGCAGCAGUGGGGAAUAUUGGACAAUGGGGGAAACCCUGAUCCAGCCAUGCCGCGUGUGUGAAGAAGGCCUUUUGGUUGUAAAGCACUUUAAGCAGUGAAGAAGACUCCAUGGUUAAUACCCAUGGACGAUGACAUUAGCUGCAGAAUAAGCACCGGCUAACUCUGUGCCAGCAGCCGCGGUAAUACAGAGGGUGCAAGCGUUAAUCGGAAUUACUGGGCGUAAAGGGAGCGUAGGUGGCUCUAUAAGUCAGAUGUGAAAUCCCCGGGCUUAACCUGGGAACUGCAUCUGAAACUGUAGAGCUAGAGUAUGUGAGAGGAAGGUAGAAUUCCAGGUGUAGCGGUGAAAUGCGUAGAGAUCUGGAGGAAUACCGAUGGCGAAGGCAGCCUUCUGGCAUAAUACUGACACUGAGGCUCGAAAGCGUGGGUAGCAAACAGGAUUAGAUACCCUGGUA